rnacentral:rRNA from 1 species
UGGGGAAUUUUGGACAAUGGGGGAAACCCUGAUCCAGCCAUCCCGCGUGUGCGAUGAAGGCCUUCGGGUUGUAAAGCACUUUUGGCAGGAAAGAAACGUCAUGGGUUAAUACCCCGUGAAACUGACGGUACCUGCAGAAUAAGCACCGGCUAACUACGUGCCAGCAGCCGCGGUAAUACGUAGGGUGCAAGCGUUAAUCGGAAUUACUGGGCGUAAAGCGUGCGCAGGCGGUUCGGAAAGAAAGAUGUGAAAUCCCAGAGCUCAACUGUCGAACCGGAUGUUAAACUAUCGGGCUAGAGGGUGGCGGAGGGAGGUGGAAUUCCGCGUGUAGCGGUGAAAUGCGUAGAUAUGCGAAGGAACCCCGAUGGCGAAGGUAGCCUCCUGGGAUAACACUGACGCUCAUGCACGAAAGCGUGGGGAGCAAACAGG